GUGAGUAGUUGAUUUUUAUGUAAUCUACUCCCCCUCGCUAGUUGUUGUGCCUGCCCACACUAACUACCUUUUAGAGCUUUUUGUUGGGCAUUUCCAUCCUUGUGUGUUAGCUAGCUAGCUUCGGGUCUAUCCCAUUACCUCAGAAGUUAGCUCGUAGCUAGCUAAAUAAGCCCAUGUAGCCACCAUAGUUAGUUGUACCUGUUGUUGGCGCUUGUUGACCCAUGGUGUUGUGCCAGUCCCAGCCCUUUGAUCCAGCAUUACCACUCCCUCGCUUGGAGUUUUGCUAUGAUCCCGGAGCUCAGUGGUGCAGUAGACCACCGGUCCUCGCAUGACAGAGUCCACCAACGCCGAGACUGAUUGUCCAUGCUUGAUCGUGCCAGUCAGGUAGCUUCAUAUAGGCAGGAGUUUUGAUCCCGGAUCUUGAUACAUAUUUAUAUGGGAGUCUUGACCCCGAAGCACGACAGGUCGGAGCCAACAGCUUCCGGUAAUUGAGGAUAUUGGAGGAUAGAGGAGACAGCUUGGGGAGUCAGGGACCACUUCUCUUUGUUCAAACACAACUCAGUCAGAGGCCCCUGCAGUCAGAGAUGGGUAUGGAUGUCCCAAGAACCCCGGAUAGCAAGGACGUCAGAGAUGCAGAGCAGGAUGAAGUUGACCCUAGAAGCUGAUCUGUUGCAUUUUACCUUCAACAACGGUUAAGGUUAGGUUUGAGGGAAGGUAUGCGGAUCCUUGAU
rnacentral:lncRNA from 1 species